rnacentral:rRNA from 1 species
ACUCCUACGGGAGGCAGCAGUGGGGAAUAUUGCACAAUGGGCGCAAGCCUGAUGCAGCCAUGCCGCGUGUAUGAAGAAGGCCUUCGGGUUGUAAAGUACUUUCAGCAGUGAGGAAGGUGGGUAUGUUAAUAGCAUAUUCUAUUUGUACGUUAGCUGCAGAAGAAGCACCGGCUAACUCCGUGCCAGCAGCCGCGGUAAUACGGAGGGUGCGAGCGUUAAUCGGAAUUACUGGGCGUAAAGCGCAUGCAGGUGGUUUGUUAAGUCAGAUGUGAAAGCCCGGGGCUCAACCUCGGAAUUGCAUUUGAAACUGGCAAACUAGAGUACUGUAGAGGGGGUAGAAUUUCAGGUGUAGCGGUG